rnacentral:misc_RNA from 1 species
UCUCCGUAGGUGAACCUGCGGAGGGAUCAUUUUGAUUUUUAUUUAAAUAAUAUUUUUUUAUGUGGUUAAAAAAUUAAUAAAUUAAAUUUGAAAUAUUAAUUUAAUUUAUUUUUUUUAUUUUAUCUAAUUUUAUAUAUAUUUUUAAUAAUCAAUUAUUAUAAAAACUUAAAUAAAUAACUAAUAUAUAACUUUUAACAAUGGAUCUCUUGGCUCUC